rnacentral:rRNA from 1 species
GACACGACUCUCGGCAAUGGAUAUCUUGGCUCUUGCAUCGAUGAAGAGCGCAGCGAAAUGCGAUACGUGGUGCGAAUUGCAGAAUCCCGCGAAC